CAUUAUAAUAACCUUGACUUCUCUUUAAAUUUGAUUGCAAGCUGAACAAGAGUGGGGAAACCAGCAGCUGACUAACACCCUGAACAGACAGGAUCUGCUCUUUGUCAGACAUCCUGGGGAUUUCUCAGAAGAGAUCAGGGAAGUAAGGGGACAAUGGAGGCAGCUGUGAGGGUCAACAAUGUACUGAGAUAUGUGGGAUCAGCAAGACACAGUGUUUCCUGAGCUGCAAUGGGGCUGGCACCAGCUCUAGAAGUCAAAAUGUUAAAGAACUGAAGU
rnacentral:lncRNA from 1 species